CACGUAGGGAGCAAGCGUUGUCCGGAUUUAUUGGGCGUAAAGAGCUCGUAGGCGGCUUGGCAAGUCGGGUGUGAAAACUCCAGGCUCAACCUGGAGAUGCCACUCGAGACUGCUAUGGCUAGAGUCCGGUAGGGGACCACGGAAUUCCUGGUGUAGCGGUGAAAUGCGCAGAUAUCAGGAGGAACACCGGUGGCGAAGGCGGUGGUCUGGGCCGGCACUGACGCUGAGGAGCGAAAGCGUGGGGAGCAAACAGG
rnacentral:rRNA from 1 species